rnacentral:rRNA from 1 species
GACGAACGCUGGCGGCGUGCCUAAUACAUGCAAGUCGAACGCAGUGGGGACGGGUGAGUAACACGUGGGUAACCUCCCAUCAGAGGGGAUAACACUUGGAAACACGUGCUAAACCGAUACUGAUGGAUGGACCCGGGGUGGAUUAGCUGGUUGGUGAGGUAACGGCUCACCAAGGCCACGAUGCAUAGGCGACCUAAGGGGAUGAUCGGCCACACUGGUACGGAGACACUGCCCAGACUCCGACGGGAGGCACCAUGAGGUAAUCUACGGCAAUUGACGAAAGUCAGACCGGGCCACGCCGCGUGAGUGAAGAAGGUUUUCGGAUCGUAAAACACUGUAGUUAGCGGAGCGGUAUCUAACCAGAAAGCCACGGCUAACUACGUGCCAGCAGCCGCGGUAAUUC